rnacentral:rRNA from 1 species
UACGUAGGGGGCAAGCGUUGUCCGGAAUCAUUGGGCGUAAAGAGCGUGUAGGCGGCCAGAUAAGUCCGCUGUGAAAUCUCGAGGCUCAACUUCGAGCUGUCGGUGGAAACUGUCUGGCUAGAGUCCGGAAGAGGAGAAUGGAAUUCCUGGUGUAGCGGUGAAAUGCGCAGAUAUCAGGAGGAACACCGGUGGCGAAGGCGGGUCUCUGGGCCGAUACUGACGCUGAGGAGCGAAAGCGUGGGGAGCGAACAGG